GUGGGUACAGCUCAGUGGUAGAGCACAUGCUUAGCAUGCAGGAGGUCUUGGGUUCAAUUCCCAGCACCUCCA
rnacentral:tRNA from 1 species